GGAGGAGGGGAACGUGCCGGGAGGCUCGAGUCCCCCUCCCAGAGUGCUCUGGGCCGGAGAAACCUCCCGCAGGCUCCCGGGCCAGGCGUGCAAGGCCCCCUCUCCUGCCAGGGCCCAGGACGCUGCGGGCCCCAGCGGAGGGGAAGGGGACUAAGUAGGGGAAGAAGCUGUAAACAGCCCCAGCGUCCGGGCCUCGCCUCGAAGAGCCGCGCUUCCCAGGCCCAGCCGCGGGCCGCCCAGGCCCCCAGCCUGCCCCGGGGCCGCCGCGCCCGGGGUCCGGGACACCGGAGGGGAGUCGGGUCCCCUCCCCGGAGAGCUCCGGGAGCUCGCGGAGCGGCCCCAGGAGCAGAGAAGGGGGAAGUCAGGACUUACCUGUCAUUACUUUCUACGCCAUCUUGGAUCCACUUGUCAACGUCCCCACAAAGCAUUAUGGGUCCUACUGCAACUCGAAUGGCACUUAGGCUCCACAAGACCAACUUCCUAUUUCUACAUCAGUGAAGGUUCGGAGUGGAGCUUUUCAUUCAGCAAAGACAGCAGGAAGCACAGGGUUCGGUGAUGAAUUCUCACGUGCAGGUACCUCUUCAGUAGAAAAAUUCAAUAAGGUUUCUGACACUUUCUACCUAUGGGCCAGUUACAUACAGAAGAGAAAACUGAAACUGAAAACUGGUUUGUCAUUUUUACAGAAAGUCACUGCAAAGAAGGAGAAUUCCAAGUGCAAAUGACUUGAGCUUGACGGAAAGGUAAAAAUAUCCCUAUGAUUCUCUUCACAAGAAGGUAGCCAAGUAUUUAUUGGAUGCAAGACAGUUUGUUUAAGGAGCCUAAAAAAGCAAAGAUGCAGCGGUGAGAAAGA